UUCCGCUUGGCUGAGUUUAGUUCAAGUUUUUGGAGGGUAGAUGUGUUGAUACCGAUGUGUUGCAUCUACUGGCUGUUUUAUUUUCGUUUAUAUGUUGAAUAGGUUAAGUGUAUUGUGAAAUGGAUUAAUUGUAUAUAGUUUUACUGAUUGAUAGUCACAGUGUGAAGAGGCGAUUAAGAGAGUUGUACAGGUGUUGGUUAUAAUUGUGGACAGUGCCAUACACUGGUCACCUUGUAAUUCAACUCACCUUGUAACUUGUGUUUGGAGAUUGGAGAAGAGUAGUUUACCAAGUGGAAUGGACUUUUGUGUAAAAUAUAUGUGAUGUACUCGUAUCAGGAUUCAAGGUACAUUGUGAUAGAUCUUUACCUGCUUCUUCUGACAUGACAAACUGUCCCGGAAACAUGGAUUAUAGAUGUGACCUUUGUAAUAAGUUAUUUAGUUAUAAAUCUAAUCUAUAUAAACAUAUUACAUCAGUUCAUCUCCAAGAGAAGAGAUUUAAAUGCGAAAUAUGCGAGAAAUCAUUUUCUCGUAGUCAUCAUCUGAAAUAU